rnacentral:rRNA from 1 species
GAUGAACGCUGGCGGCGUGCCUAAUACAUGCGAGUCGAGCGAACAGACGAGGAGCUUGCUCCUCUGACGUUAGCGGCGGACGGGUGAGUAACACGUGGAUAACCUACCUAUAAGACUGGGAUAACUUCGGGAAACCGGAGCUAAUACCGGAUAAUAUAUUGAACCGCAGGGUUCAAUAGUGAAAGACGGUUUUGCUGUCACUUAUAGAUGGAUCCGCGCCGCAUUAGCUAGUUGGUAAGGUAACGGCUUACCAAGGCAACGAUGCGUAGCCGACCUGAGAGGGUGAUCGGCCACACUGGAACUGAGACACGGUCCAGACUCCUACGGGAGGCAGCAGUAGGGAAUCUUCCGCAAUGGGCGAAAGCCUGACGGAGCAACGCCGCGUGAGUGAUGAAGGUCUUCGGAUCGUAAAACUCUGUUAUUAGGGAAGAACAAAUGUGUAAGUAACUAUGCACGUCUUGACGGUACCUGAUCAGAAAGCCACGGCUAACUACGUG